rnacentral:rRNA from 1 species
CCUACGGGUGGCAGCAGUCGAGAAUCAUUCACAAUGGGGGAAACCCUGAUGGUGCGACGCCGCGUGGGGGAAUGAAGUUCUUCGGAUUGUAAACCCCUGUCAUGUGGGAGCAAAUUAAAAAGAUAGUACCACAAGAGGAAGAGACGGCUAACUCUGUGCCAGCAGCCGCGGUAAUACAGAGGUCUCAAGCGUUGUUCGGAAUCACUGGGCGUAAAGCGUGCGUAGGCUGUUUCGUAAGUCGUGUGUGAAAGGCGCGGGCUCAACCCGCGGACGGCACAUGAUACUGCGAGACUAGAGUAAGGGAGGGGGAACCGGAAUGCUCGGUGUAGCAGUGAAAUGCGUAGAUAUCGAGAGGAACACUCGUGGCGAAGGCGGGUUCCUGGACAUUAACUGACGCUGAGGCACGAAGGCCAGGGGAGCGAAAGGGAUUAGAUACCCUAGUAGUC